CAGCAAACCAAUAUUCCCAUCAACCGGUACCAGGCGAGGGAGCUGAUAAAGAAGCUGGAAGAGAAGAAUGGUAUGGUUAACUUCAGUGGUUUUAAAAGCCUGAAAGUCACAGCAGCUGGUCAGCUCUGAAGAGAAGUGCCAAUAAAAGAAGUCCUGGCAAGUCGUGUGGCUCUGAGGAGACUAAGCCAAAGGCCAGAUGGAAAGAUACCACGACCAGAGCUAAGUGUGAGCAAAUAAAAUCUGGCUUGAUUCUGGGCA
rnacentral:lncRNA from 1 species